rnacentral:sRNA from 1 species
AAUGCAAAAAGUUCAAGUUUCAUGGUGAUUAUAGCACAGCUCCGAAACCUUCAUGCCUUCUUGAUACCUCAUACUUCAAAAGUAUAUUUUAGGGUUGCCGUUCUUCCUUCCUCAACUGAUGUCAGCUGUCUGUUUCGCACAAAAGUUCAUCCGCCCACAGAAUCCAUUUUAUUCAAUGAUGUGUUCAGAGUCGCCAUUUCCCAAACAGCCUUACAACAGAAGACACUGAGGGUAGACCUUUGCUCUGUCAGUAAACACCGAAGGGAAGAAUGCCUGUAUUGGAGCUUUCGGGAAGAUGUGAUGUUACUGUUUAAAGCAAUAUGAUAUUUAAAUGCUACAGCAGAAGACUUCACAGUUAACUAAUUGUGAGUUUAAUACACUUUGUGCGUAAUAACCAGAAAACCAUUACGUCCCAGUAAAGUUAUAUAAGUAUUCAAAUGCAGGCAUCUAGAGAUGUGCCAUGUGUUCAGAAAACAAUGUGAGUCUCCAAUUGAGCUUUUCUCUGCAGUCCAGUGGGAAGCACAGAAACACAUGUUUCAUGAUGAACAAAGU